UACGUAGGCAGCAAGCGUUGUUCGGAAUUACUGGGCGUAAAGAGCGUGUAGGCGGUGCUCUAAGUUUGGUGUGAAAUCUCCCGGCUCAACUGGGAGGGUGCGCCGAAAACUGGAAUGCUUGAACGUGGGAGAGGAAAGCGGAAUUCCUGGUGUAGCGGUGAAAUGCGUAGAUAUCAGGAGGAACACCUGCGGUGUAGACGGCUUUCUGGACCAUUGUUGACGCUGAGACACGAAAGCGUGGGUAGCAAACAGG
rnacentral:rRNA from 1 species